rnacentral:rRNA from 1 species
CAGAGGGUGCAAACGUUGUUCGGAAUUACUGGGCGUAAAGCGCGUGUAGGCUGCUUGGAAAGUCGGGUGUGAAAGCCCUGGGCUCAACCCAGGAAGUGCACUCGAAACUUCCGAGCUCGAGUUCUGGAGAGGAUAGCGGAAUUCUCGGUGUAGAGGUGAAAUUCGUAGAUAUCGAGAGGAACACCGGUGGCGAAGGCGGCUAUCUGGACAGAAACUGACGCUGAGACGCGAAAGCGUGGGGAGCAAACAGGAUUAGAUACCCUGGUAGUCCACGCCGUAAACGAUGGGUGCUAGGUGUCGCGGGCUUUGACCCCUGCGGUGCCGCAGCUAACGCAUUAAGCACCCCGCCUGGGGAGUACGGCCGCAAGGCUA